rnacentral:rRNA from 1 species
UGGGGAUGACGUCAAGUCAUCAUGGCCCUUACGACCAGGGCUACACACGUGCUACAAUGGCAUAUACAAAGAGAAGCGACCUCGCGAGAGCAAGCGGACCUCAUAAAGUAUGUCGUAGUCCGGAUUGGAGUCUGCAACUCGACUCCAUGAAGUCGGAAUCGCUAGUAAUCGUAGAUCAGAAUGCUACGGUGAAUACGUUCCCGGGCCUUGUACACACCGCCCGUCACACCAUGGGAGUGGGUUGCAAAAGAAGUAGGUAGCUUAACCUUCGGGAGGGCGCUUACCACUUUGUGAUUCAUGACUGGGGUGAAGUCGUAACAAGGUAACCGUAGGGGAACCUGCGGUUGGAUCACCUCCUUACCUUAAAGAA